CGUGUAGGCGGCUGGAUAAGUCAGAUGUGAAAGCCCUGGGCUUAACCCAGGAAGUGCAUUUGAAACUGUUCAGCUUGAGUAAGGGAGAGGAAAGUGGAAUUCCUGGUGUAGAGGUGAAAUUCGUAGAUAUCAGGAGGAACACCGGUGGCGAAGGCGACUUUCUGGCCCUAUACUGACGCUGAGACGCGAGAGCGUGGGUAGCGAACA
rnacentral:rRNA from 1 species